rnacentral:rRNA from 1 species
CCUACGGGUGGCAGCAGUGAGGAAUAUUGGUCAAUGGGCUUACGCCUGAACCAGCCAAGUCGCGUGAGGGAAGAAUGCCCUAUGGGUUGUAAACCUCUUUUGUCAGGGAGCAAGUGGCGCUACGUGUAGCGUUAUCGAGAGGACCUGAAGAAAAAGCAUCGGCGAACUCCGUGCCAGCAGCCGCGGUAAUACGGAGGAUGCGAGCGUUAGCCGGAUGUAUUGGGUUUAAAGGGUGCGUAGGCGGAAUGCCACGUCAGCGGUCAACUCGCGGGGCUCAACCUCGCUCCGCCGUUGAAACUGGCGUUCUUGAGUGUGCGAGAAGUAUGCGGAAUGCGUGGUGUAGCGGU